rnacentral:rRNA from 1 species
GGGUUGUGAGGUUAAGCGACUAAGCGUACACGGUGGAUGCCCUGGCAGUCAGAGGCGAUGAAGGACGUGCUAAUCUGCGAUAAGCGUCGGUGAGGUGAUAUGAACCGUUAUAACCGGCGAUUUCCGAAUGGGGAAACCCAGUGUGUUUCGACACACUAUCAUUAACUGAAUCCAUAGGUUAAUGAGGCGAACCGGGGGAACUGAAACAUCUAAGUACCCCGAGGAAAAGAAAUCAACCGAGAUUCCCCCAGUAGCGGCGAGCGAACGGGGAGGAGCCCAGAGCCUGAAUCAGUGUGUGUGUUAGUGGAAGCGUCUGGAAAGGCGCGCGAUACAGGGUGACAGCCCCGUACACAAAAAUGCACAUACUGUGAGCUCGAUGAGUAGGGCGGGACACGUGGUAUCCUGUCUGAAUAUGGGGGGACCAUCCUCCAAGGCUAAAUACUCCUGACUGACCGAUAGUGAACCAGUACCGUGAGGGAAAGGCGAAAAGAACCCCGGCGAGGGGAGUGAAAAAGAACCUGAAACCGUGUACGUACAAGCAGUGGGAGCCUCUUAAUGGGGUGACUGCGUACCUUUUGUAUAAUGGGUCAGCGACUUAUAUUCUGUAGCAAGGUUAACCGAAUAGGGGAGCCGAAGGGAAACCGAGUCUUAACUGGGCGUUAAGUUGCAGGGUAUAGACCCGAAACCCGGUGAUCUAGCCAUGGGCAGGUUGAAGGUUGGGUAACACUAACUGGAGGACCGAACCGACUAAUGUUGAAAAAUUAGCGGAUGACUUGUGGCUGGGGGUGAAAGGCCAAUCAAACCGGGAGAUAGCUGGUUCUCCCCGAAAGCUAUUUAGGUAGCGCCUCGUGAAUUCAUCUCCGGGGGUAGAGCACUGUUUCGGCAAGGGGGUCAUCCCGACUUACCAACCCGAUGCAAACUGCGAAUACCGGAGAAUGUUAUCACGGGAGACACACGGCGGGUGCUAACGUCCGUCGUGAAGAGGGAAACAACCCAGACCGCCAGCUAAGGUCCCAAAGUCAUGGUUAAGUGGGAAACGAUGUGGGAAGGCCCAGACAGCCAGGAUGUUGGCUUAGAAGCAGCCAUCAUUUAAAGAAAGCGUAAUAGCUCACUGGUCGAGUCGGCCUGCGCGGAAGAUGUAACGGGGCUAAACCAUGCACCGAAGCUGCGGCAGCGACGCUUAUGCGUUGUUGGGUAGGGGAGCGUUCUGUAAGCCUGUGAAGGUGGCCUGUGAGGGUUGCUGGAGGUAUCAGAAGUGCGAAUGCUGACAUAAGUAACGAUAAAGCGGGUGAAAAGCCCGCUCGCCGGAAGACCAAGGGUUCCUGUCCAACGUUAAUCGGGGCAGGGUGAGUCGACCCCUAAGGCGAGGCCGAAAGGCGUAGUCGAUGGGAAACAGGUUAAUAUUCCUGUACUUGGUGUUACUGCGAAGGGGGGACGGAGAAGGCUAUGUUGGCCGGGCGACGGUUGUCCCGGUUUAAGCGUGUAGGCUGGUUUUCCAGGCAAAUCCGGAAAAUCAAGGCUGAGGCGUGAUGACGAGGCACUACGGUGCUGAAGCGACAAAUGCCCUGCUUCCAGGAAAAGCCUCUAAGCAUCAGGUAACAUUAAAUCGUACCCCAAACCGACACAGGUGGUCAGGUAGAGAAUACCAAGGCGCUUGAGAGAACUCGGGUGAAGGAACUAGGCAAAAUGGUGCCGUAACUUCGGGAGAAGGCACGCUGAUAUGUAGGUGAAGCGACUUGCUCGUGGAGCUGAAAUCAGUCGAAGAUACCAGCUGGCUGCAACUGUUUAUUAAAAACACAGCACUGUGCAAACACGAAAGUGGACGUAUACGGUGUGACGCCUGCCCGGUGCCGGAAGGUUAAUUGAUGGGGUUAGCGGUAACGCGAAGCUCUUGAUCGAAGCCCCGGUAAACGGCGGCCGUAACUAUAACGGUCCUAAGGUAGCGAAAUUCCUUGUCGGGUAAGUUCCGACCUGCACGAAUGGCGUAAUGAUGGCCAGGCUGUCUCCACCCGAGACUCAGUGAAAUUGAACUCGCUGUGAAGAUGCAGUGUACCCGCGGCAAGACGGAAAGACCCCGUGAACCUUUACUAUAGCUUGACACUGAACAUUGAGCCUUGAUGUGUAGGAUAGGUGGGAGGCUUUGAAGUGUGGACGCCAGUCUGCAUGGAGCCGACCUUGAAAUACCACCCUUUAAUGUUUGAUGUUCUAACGUGGGCCCCUUACCGGGGUUGCGGACAGUGUCUGGUGGGUAGUUUGACUGGGGCGGUCUCCUCCUAAAGAGUAACGGAGGAGCACGAAGGUUGGCUAAUCCUGGUCGGACAUCAGGAGGUUAGUGCAAUGGCAUAAGCCAGCUUGACUGCGAGCGUGACGGCGCGAGCAGGUGCGAAAGCAGGUCAUAGUGAUCCGGUGGUUCUGAAUGGAAGGGCCAUCGCUCAACGGAUAAAAGGUACUCCGGGGAUAACAGGCUGAUACCGCCCAAGAGUUCAUAUCGACGGCGGUGUUUGGCACCUCGAUGUCGGCUCAUCACAUCCUGGGGCUGAAGUAGGUCCCAAGGGUAUGGCUGUUCGCCAUUUAAAGUGGUACGCGAGCUGGGUUUAGAACGUCGUGAGACAGUUCGGUCCCUAUCUGCCGUGGGCGCUGGAGAACUGAGGGGGGCUGCUCCUAGUACGAGAGGACCGGAGUGGACGCAUCACUGGUGUUCGGGUUGUCAUGCCAAUGGCACUGCCCGGUAGCUAAAUGCGGAAGAGAUAAGUGCUGAAAGCAUCUAAGCACGAAACUUGCCCCGAGAUGAGUUCUCCCUGAGACUUAGAGUCUCCUGAAGGAACGUUGAAGACGACGACGUUGAUAGGCCGGGUGUGUAAGCGCAGCGAUGCGUUGAGCUAACCGGUACUAAUGAACCGUGAGGCUUAACCUUACAACGCCGAAG